AGUGAACGCUGGCGGUAGGCCUAACACAUGCAAGUCGAACGGCAGCACAGUAAGAGCUUGCUCUUACGGGUGGCGAGUGGCGGACGGGUGAGGAAUACAUCGGAAUCUACUUUUUCGUGGGGGAUAACGUAGGGAAACUUACGCUAAUACCGCAUACGACCUACGGGUGAAAGCAGGGGAUCUUCGGACCUUGCGCGAUUGAAUGAGCCGAUGUCGGAUUAGCUAGUUGGCGGGGUAAAGGCCCACCAAGGCGACGAUCCGUAGCUGGUCUGAGAGGAUGAUCAGCCACACUGGAACUGAGACACGGUCCAGACUCCUACGGGAGGCAGCAGUGGGGAAUAUUGGACAAUGGGCGCAAGCCAGAUCCAGCCAUACCGCGUGGGUGAAGAAGGCCUUCGGGUUGUAAAGCCCUUUUGUUGGGAAAGAAAAGCAGCAGGUUAAUACCCCGCUGUUCUGACGGUACCCAAAGAAUAAGCACCGGCUAACUUCGU
rnacentral:rRNA from 1 species